CCGAGUGAGGGCCCUUUGGGUCCAACCUCCCACCCGUGUUUAUUUUACCUUGUUGCUUCGGCGGGCCCGCCUUUACUGGCCGCCGGGGGGCUCACGCCCCCGGGCCCGCGCCCGCCGAAGACACCCCCGAACUCUGUCUGAAGAUUGAAGUCUGAGUGAAAAUAUAAAUUAUUUAAAACUUUCAACAACGGAUCUCUUGGUUCCGGCAUCGAUGAAGAACGCAGCGAAAUGCGAUACGUAAUGUGAAUUGCAAAUUCAGUGAAUCAUCGAGUCUUUGAACGCACAUUGCGCCCCCUGGUAUUCCGGGGGGCAUGCCUGUCCGAGCGUCAUUGCUGCCCUCAAGCCCGGCUUGUGUGUUGGGCCCCGUCCUCCGAUUCCGGGGGACGGGCCCGAAAGGCAGCGGCGGCACCGCGUCCGGUCCUCGAGCGUAUGGGGCUUUGUCACCCGCUCUGUAGGCCCGGCCGGCGCUUGCCGAUCAACCCAAAUUUUUAUCCAGGUUGACCUCGGAUAGGUAGGGAUACCCGCUGAACUUAAGCAUAUCA
rnacentral:rRNA from 1 species